GAUGAAGAACGUAGUGAAAUGCGAUAAGUAAUGUGAAUUGCAGAAUUCAGUGAAUCAUCGAAUCUUUGAACGCACCUUGCGCUCCCUGGUAUUCCGAGGAGCAUGCCUGUUUGAGUGUCAUCUAAAUCCUCAAACCACAUUGAUUCUUUCGGUGUGGCUUUGGAAGUGGGGGUAGUGUUUGCAGGUUUUAUCUUAAGUCUGCUCCCCUGAAAUGCAUUAGUGGUAUCUGAGCAGAAGGAACUACUACAGGUGUGAUAAUUUAUCUAUGCCUUAGUAUACUGCAUAAAACAGAUUACACUGCUUAUAACAAACUUUAUUUCUUUUUUUUGGAGACCUCAAAUCAGGUAGGACUACCCGCUGAACUUAAGCAUAUCAAUAAGCGGAGGA
rnacentral:misc_RNA from 1 species